GUCAUUAUACUCUUAGCAAUCAGUUCUAUAGUUUUCUUCCGAGAGAAACUGGUUUCUAGAAUGUUUGGUUUCACAACCCACGAGGAGGAUUUAUAGCGUUCUCUUCCAAGCAGGAAGCUGAUAUUGAGAGUGUUGCUUUUAGUAGCAACUCUUUGCCAUUGAUGAGCGUUCCUGUGUUUUUUUACAGAGAGGUGGAGGAACAGAACAUUACGACAGCU